GGUGGCGUUAGCUCAGUUGGAUAGAGCAACAGCCUUCUAAGCUGUGGGUCACUGGUUCUUAUUUCAGGCUUCU
rnacentral:tRNA from 1 species